ACUUAGGAUAGAUGUCGCUAAACAAAUAUUUGACAGUUCAAUCAUUUUAUUGCGAAUGGUUGCUUGUAGUUCACAAUAGUGACGUUCGAAAUGAUUAGUAAAUAUUAUUGGGUAUAUAGAAAUAUGAAAAUAAUUGUCUCAAAUAAGAUUUGCUCUAUUAUGCUCAAGCCAUGACGAAGUUCUACGAAUUUAUUAAUACAACAUUAGUAAUAUGCCUAUACAAGUAUAUUUUAAUCACGUUAUAGUGAAGUAUUGAGUCGAGUACUUCAUCUUUAAGUUGUUUGUUUUGCGCUUGCUAUGCACAUGCUGGCCGGAUUUAUUUCGAGUUAUCAAUCAACAAUUAUUGACCUUGGUAUUAUUUCAUAUUGUGUGAGUUCCCUGGAAAUACAGCACCGGAUUUCCGCUUUGUCAUUUUACUACGUUAUAAACGAGGAAUCGGAACUGAAAAUUGUGGUUGAGAACGGCGACCGCCUGGCUAGUGCAUAAGGAAAUAUGUGAACAUGAGAAUGGACCGCACUGAAGGUCAUUACAAGAUUUAGUUGAAAUACCGAAGCCGAUUAUACAAGUACAUAUCCCCGGAGAGCAACGAAACGCAGAAGUUUGGCGUACUAAUAAUUUAUAUACAUACAUAUAUGUUGAUAUUUGAUAUGGUAAUGUCAGAAUGUAAAUCGAUCGAUCUCAAGCCCCCUGCACUAUAUUUCUUACAAUAAUACACUUUCUACUUGCAACCGUUGUUAUUUACUCACGCUAUUUCCUCUAAUGACUAACAUUUCUUACUUUUGACAGCACAGAAAAUAUAAAAAUAACAUGUGUGCAUAUGUUUGUAUGUUUUCAUA